CAGGUGAUGAGCGCAGGUGAGAGCUGUGGCGGAGGGAUAUGCAGAUACACGGCGAGCAGAGGGAUGCACAACAGAGCCACGUGAAGCCACCACUCCCUGCUGACACGACGGACCGAUCCGCACUCGCCUUCAUUCCGCUGCAGACAGAAUUAGCGAUGUUUGGACGUUACACCCAGCCGACAGAAGCAUGUGGACAGCCAUCGGCUGUAAUGAUGGACAUCUGCUCAUAAGGCGGACCUGGUGCGGCCUCCACUUCAAAAUCACACCAUUAAAAGCGUGAAGACUCCAGCUCCAGCCAUUUCAGAUACUCUUUAACUUCCAAACGAGAAUGAGAGAUGAAUCUCAGGACUCUUGGAACUUAAAAUAAACCCAAAGAUGACUUUUAAGGGGUGAAGUAUGAGAAAGUAAGUAUGAGAGGAGAUUUAUGGACUGAGAUCCUCGUCUAUGGCUCCCUCCCCUCACCAGUCCAAAGAAGAAACCUCCCAUGGCCCUCAAUACCUCUACUCACUGCUAUACAAGCUUUAGUGUUAUCUAUUUGGCUUGAAGGUUCUAUGUAUCUACAAAUAUAUAACAAAUAAAACUUGCAGGCAAAAAUA